UACGGGGGGUGCGAACGUUGUCCGGAUUCACUGGGCGUAAAGGGCGCGUAGGCGGCUGGCUCAGUCGGGCCUGUAAGUGCGGGGCUCAACACCGUGAUGGGCUCGGGACGGGCUGGCUGGGGCGCGGUCGAGGGAGACGGAAUGCCGGGUGUAGUGGUGAAAUGCGUAGAGAUCCGGCGGAACACCGGUGGUGAAGGCGGUCUCCUGGGCCGAGGGCCGACGCUGAGGCGCGAGAGCGUGGGGAGCGAACCGG
rnacentral:rRNA from 1 species